CCUCAGGGCCAGCGUGCAGCAGCCUCAUGGCUAUGGGGAGCCCCUGCCACAGAGGCACAGCAGCUUGCAGGUAAAAACUGUGAGCAGUGCUGUUCACAGAGCCCUCAGCACUGACACAGAGCUGCUAGCGGUGACCACAGCUGUGCCACGGAGAGCAAGAACCUCCAGAGGAAGCAUACAGAGCUGCUUUCCUUACAUCAGCCAUCUUUGUGGCACAUGCUUUUCUCAGAGGAACCCUGGGUAUUAGUGAAGUUCCUGUGACUUGAAAGAAGGCAAAUUUGGUUUCCACGCACUGGUUCCAGGGCAGCAGCUGAAGCUCGGGAGAUGCCGUGCACCCAUAGUAGGCUCCAUCCCCUGGGGGCGAAGGUCCGUGGCCCUUCCUUGUCAGGCCCUGCCUGGGGCAUACUCAUAAGUGAAGAGUAACAAAGGUACUAAUGUCCUAAUAAUGAGACAAGGCUUGUUUUUGCAAAGCAGCUGUUCCAAACUUGUUGUCUGGAGGGUGCUCCUUCGGUGGCCAAGUGCCUCAGGAUAAAAGGGCUCAAGGUAAAAGUAGGAACAUAGACUGAGAGUAGGAACACAACCCAGCAAUAAUAGGUUUGUGAUGAACACAAAGAAUUUUCCUCACAGUUUUGUGAAGGUUUCUGCUUCUUUCAUUUGUGGAAG
rnacentral:lncRNA from 1 species